UGCAUAUGGAAACUGACCUUGAGGAAGGUUGUGAACAUCAAGCUGAGUACCAUUGAAAGGCAGCUUGAGAUGGGAAGGUGGUGAGUAAGUAGGCAAACAAGUCAUUGUUUUAGCUUUGCUCCCAUAAGAAAUUGCAUAGAUCAGGAGGUUUAAAUAACCGUAGUUUAUUUCUCACAUUUCUGGAGGCUGGGAAAUCCACGAUCAAGGUGCUGGCCAAUUUGAGUGCCUGAUGAGAACUCUCUUUCUGGCUUGUAGUUGGCUGCCUUCUUGCUGUGACUUCUUUGUGCACAAUGGGAGAGAGAGAGAGCAAGCUCUCUGGUGUCUUCUUCUUCUUCUUCUUUUUUUUUUAAGUUUAUUUAUCUAUUUUUAGAGAGAGAGCAUGAGCACACAAGCAAGUGGGGAAUGGUAGAUAGAGAGAGGAAGAGAGAGAAUCCCAAGCAGGCUCUGUGCUGUCAGUGCACAACCCAACACGGGGCUCAGUCUUACCAACUGUGAGAUCGUGACCUGAGCUGAAAUCAAGAGUUGGACACUUAACCAACUGAGCCACCCAGGUACCCCUCUGGUGUCUUUUCUUAUAAGGACACUAAUACCAUCAUGAGAGGCCUACCCUCUAAACCUAAUUAUCUUUCAAAGCCUCCAUCUCCAAAUGCUAUUACACAGGGGGUUAGGACUUCAAUAUAUGAAUUUGGUGGGGGGGGAGGGGUAGAUAUAAACUUUCAGGCCAUAACAGUCAUUCUUACAGGUCAGUGGGUCACCUGUUGGUCAUACCUUUCUAUCUCAGACAGCCUUCAAGGCUGGGUUGAUUUCAAAGGAGGGAAUGAAUGUCCUCUUGACAUUUCAGAGCAACCUCACACAGACUGGAGAUGCUGCCAUUCUCUUAGCCCAUCAGAAAAUAGAAGGUGUGCUACUUCUGUGUGCCCACAGUAAUUGGCCCAGUGUAGACAGCAUCACCUUAGUGGAUUUGGGAUCGCCAUGAGGCUCCACUUUCCAGCAGGAAUGGCAUAUAGCAUAGUGCCCAUUAUGGCUGGGAUAUCAAGGAGCAUCAUACCCAUUGUCAUUCACAGGUACCAGCUGGAUUUCCCUCUCAAUGUCCAUCUCCUCCAGCAUCAGAUUCAUGCUGAAUACCACACACUCUGGUGACACAGUAGGAGCUUCAUACACAUGGUCUGGGCACUGCCAUCCUGGCCUUGGCCUCCAUCUCAGGCAUGGAGUCCCACAGGAAGGUGGGGGGCCCCAGCCUGUAAAGAUAUUACAUUUUAAAAUUAUCCACCGACCAGUAAAAACAAAACAAACGAAUUUGGU
rnacentral:lncRNA from 1 species